GAAUAUUGGACAAUGGGGGCAACCCUGAUCCAGCGACGCCGCGUGAGGGAAGAAGGCCUUCGGGUUGUAAACCUCUUUCAGGAGGGACGAAGCUACUCGGGUGAAUAGCCCAGAGGGUGACGGUACCUCCAGAAGAAGCCCCGGCUAACUACGUGCCAGCAGCCGCGGUAAUACGUAGGGGGCAAGCGUUGUCCGGAUUUACUGGGCGUAAAGAGCGUGUAGGCGGCCAAGCAGGUCUGUUGUGAAAACUGGAGGCUCAACUUCCAGACGUCGACGGAAACCGCUUGGCUAGAGUCCGGAAGAGGAGAGUGGAAUUCCUGGUGUAGCGGUGAAAUGCGCAGAUAUCAGGAAGAACACCGAUGGCGAAGGCAGCUCUCUGGGACGGUACUGACGCUGAGACGCGAAAGCGUGGGGAGCGAACAGG
rnacentral:rRNA from 1 species